CCUACGGGGGGCUGCAGUUAAGAAUCUUGCGCAAUGGGGGAAACCCUGACGCAGCGACGCCGCGUGGACGAUGAAGGCCUUCGGGUUGUAAAGUCCGAUAAGCGGGGAAGAAUAAGCAACGGGUAAUAUUCGUUGUGAUGACGGUACCUGCCUCAAGCCCCGGCUAACUACGUGCCAGCAGCCGCGGUAAUACGUAUGGGGGUAGCGUUUUUCGGAAUUAUUGGGCGAGACGGGGAUCUAGGCGGGGUGGGAAAUCCCUGGGCUCAACCCCGGAACUGCAUCGAAAACUGGUUCUCGUGAGUUCGGGAGAGGAGAGCGGAAUUCCCGGUGUAGAGGUGAAAUGCGUAGAUAUCGGGAAGAACACCAGUGGCGAAGGCGGCUCUCUGGCCUAGAACUGACGCUGAAGCGCGAAAGCGUGGGGAGCGAACGGGAUUAGAUACCCGUGUAGUC
rnacentral:rRNA from 1 species